rnacentral:rRNA from 1 species
GUAGGUGGCAAGCGUUGUCCGGAAUUAUUGGGCGUAAAGCGCGCGCAGGCGGUUCUUCAAGUCUGAUGUGAAAGCCCACGGCUCAACCGUGGAGGGUCAUUGGAAACUGGAGAACUUGAGUACAGAAGAGGAAAGCGGAAUUCCACGUGUAGCGGUGAAAUGCGUAGAGAUGUGGAGGAACACCAGUGGCGAAGGCGGCUUUCUGGUCUGUAACUGACGCUGAGGCGCGAAAGCGUGGGGGAGCAAACAGGAUUAGAUACCCUGGUAGUCCACGCCGUAAACGAUGAGUGCUAAGUGUCAGGGGGUUUUCCGCCCCCCCCCUUAGUGCUGCAGCUAACGCAUUAAGCACUCCGCCUGGGAGUACGGCCGCAAGGCUG